AGUGCAGGAACAGGGGAAAGAGCCAAGCAAAUCCACGACCAGAGCCUGUCCUGUCAUAAAGCAUAUGUACACUUCUGUGAGGCGACAGUCCCACGCCAGGAAGCUGUUGCCGGUUGCUCCCCGCUGCUGUGACGAACAAUUGCGCCGUGAUCCCUGCCACGCUGAGGGACCGUUUGAAAGCUGUCUCACAGGAUAUUCCAGUUAAGGAUGGAAGAUGAGGUGAAAUGAAAUUGACGACCUUGGACACAGACCAGAACUAUAUGGGCAUGGAGUGGGCUGCAAAUUGGCAUCUACAGAUGUAGGAUGAAAGCAGCUGUGAUAAAUGGAAUUGCUCUCCAAAAUUUUCUUCUGAUAGUUGAAUUCAGUAAUUUGAAAUAAGACUAAUAGUUUCCCAAAUACUCAUCAUUGCUUCUAAAGUCAUCUGGAUUUUUUAUCAGACAAACUACUAGGUUCAACUUUGGACAUGCAGGUAUCGUGAGGAGAGAUAGCUCCUGCCAAGCAGUGUAAUUCCCAGUGCAAAGUCAUGGCCUAGCCUCACCCUUGGAACAAUUGCAUGGAUAGUGGUGCAAUGGAUGCUUGUUACAGAGGAAUAAAACUUGGUAUUAAUUUGCUACUGCAAAUGGUUCCCAUGUGAUUGAAAUAGGUACAACUUUAGUGGAACAUUCUGCUUUACUUACAAAUUGCACUGUAAGUCUCAAUAUGUUGUUCCAGGUAAGCCUUAAACUGUAUAGUGCAUAAACAAAAUGUGAGAAUUUUUGCUCUUGAUCACCCUGAUAUGUGUGAUAACAUGAAACAAGCAACGAACAAAUCAAGCGUAGCCAUAACACCUCAUCAAGAAGGCUCUACUACAGCAUAUAUAUAUAUAUAUAUGAUAUCAAAAGAGAUCUGUGUUAAAGGCCAGCAGACUGCAUUUGUUUCGUUUCAUCUCUGUGAGCAGAUGCCAAAGAUAAAGGCUAGAAUUGGAGGUCCAGUGGUUUCUCCCUUCCCUGAAGAUCAUUUGUCCUAGAAUCUCCAGUGAACAAAAGCAACAGCAGCACCCUGACAACGGGAGAGGUGCAGAAUCAGGGGUGUUCCUAUAUAGUGUUUUCCAAGUAUGCAAAGCAAUGAUGAAUGUUCAUCUCAUCAGAUCUGAUUCUUAUGGAAUGGUAGGACAGAUUGCCAUUUCAAGAGUGAGAAUUUAUCACAAGCAUGUGAAAACCAUGCUAGGUUAUU